GAGGUACUGUUGAAGAACAGGCAGAUCUCUUCUAUGGAAGUCAGGACAGCAGUUCCUUAUGGGGCGUUAGUGAUCAGGAAACACCAUCUUGGGUUGAUGGAAAUGUUCUAUACCUUGAGUUGUGGCCUGGAAAUUAAGAUAGAAUGUUGUGGGGAGCAAUCCGGACUAGACUAAGUUGCUCGAAUUAGGACUUAUUCUAUGCAUCUGCUCUCCCACAAUAUGGCGCUGGGAGAGAAGUAAACAGCUUCCGCACAGCUGCCUCCAGUUCAACCAAUUAACUGUAGGACUUGCUCCUGAUUGGAGAGCAGCGUACUCAGCCGAGUUGGGAUUGGCGGAGGAGGACUAUAAAGGAGGAGAGAGACGGCAUGCACCAGGAACAUCUAUGGGGAACAUCUAAGGGAACCCGUGCAGCCCCCGAGAGAGCCGGCCGGCGGUGUGCCGCUCCCCUGCGGAAGUGGGGAAUGUGGCCAGGGGGAACUGCCCUUCCACGGAGGUGGAAGGGAUAAUAGCCAACCCGGGAAGAACCAGCAGCGAACCCGGGGAGGGCCGAGCAGACUGAAAGAACAGCACAGGGUCCUGUGUCGUUCCCCCACGAAGACGGGGAGCGACAUAAUGGUGCCGUGACUCGGAUAGGAAACCUAGCUCGGAUAGGAAACUUAGGACGGAUAUGAAACCUAGGAGGGAAGAAAUGGGAAGAAACGGGAAGAAUUGGGAGAAUACCGGAGAGAGAGACUAGCAAACAGCCUAGGGAAAAGCCGGACGAAAAAGGGUGCCGGAAGAAGCUAUUGAAAGCCUAGGCAUAGACUUGGAUACGGACUACGGGGGGAAGCUGGGAGAAAUCUCUAAGGUCGAAAGCGAAAGUGAAAGCUAGAACAAACAGACUCGGACGUGGACUGUGGGGAGAGGCCAGGAGAAAUGAGGGAGGAAUAUCGUUGGAGGAAAGCUUGGGGAAACAUACCGGGUAGAGAAAAAUGUUAGGGAAAUUGAAGCCGCGGGGGGCAGGCCAAGGCGGAAACGAAAGCCACUUUGGGAUUCUCAAGUUAGCCCGGGAAUAGGGGGCGAAAAGUUAAAACCAGAAGCUGAGACGCAAGCCAGAUUGGGAUCCGUCUGAUUAGCCCGGGGAGCAAAGGACGGGAAGCCAAAUCGUGGGGCGGAGACGUACGCUGGGUUGAAUUCGCCAGGCUAGCCCGGGGAACUUAGAUUGAAUCCUAGUGGCGGAGACGCAAGCUACGCUGUGUUACUCGCGGAAGCCGCCGCGUGCAGAGAGAGCACGGGGCGUGAGUAGAUAGGGAACGGGGCUGGCGUAGGCCGUGGUUCAGACGCGAAAGGGUUAAGCGUGGAGACCGCGGAGCGCGCAAAGCCGGGAAGCCGCGCAGAUGAGGCGCGGGCUGAAGCGGCUCAGAGCCGGCGAGGCGCGGAGAAGCAGCCUCGGGGCGGAGCCCGCUGGCGGGGCGAGGCGCCGGGAAGCUGCGCGGAGCCGUGAAGCUACCGGCAGGGCGAGGCGCCGGGAAGCCGCGGGGAUAAGAGAAAACAGAAGUUUAGAAAUGGAAUGAGAGCGGGAAGCUGCGGGGAUAAGAGAAACAGAAGUUUUAGAAGUAAAGUGAGAGAAAUAGGAAUGCUGGCAGACAGAAGUAAAAUGGGAGAAAUAGAAAUGCCCGGAGAUAGAGAAAUAGAGAAAAAUAAGGCCUCCCCUCAACAUGCCAAUUAGGAGGCUUGGAUUCGGUCUGCCUGAUUUAAGGCGGUAAGCGCCAGCAAAGCUCGACCAGAGUAUGAGCUGCAGGUCACCGAAGACAGGCACGAAUUAACAUCAGUAAGGCCUCCCCACAAAAAGGCAAUGAGAAGGCUUGGAUUCGGUUUGCCUGAUAGGGCUUGUAAGCCCCUGCAGGCUCGACCAGAGCAUGCGCUGCAGGGCACCGAACACAGGCACGCAUCAGCGCCUAAAAACCUCCUCACAACAUGGCGAAGAGAGGACCCGGAUUCGGUUUGCCUGAUUGAUAGGACUUGUAAGAGCCUGUGGCAUCUCUAGCAAGUAGAGCAGAGUGUGUGCCGCGGGACACCGAAGACAGGCGCGUAUCAACGCCAAAAAUAAAAAGAAAGGGGGAUCUGUGGGGAGCAAACCGGACUAGACUGAGUUACUGGAAUUAAGACUUAUUCUAUGCAUCUGCUCUCCCACAAUAUGGCGCUGGGAGAGAAGUAAACAGCUUCCGCACAGCUGCCUCCAGUUCAGCUAAUAAACUGUAGGACUUGCUCCUGAUUGGAGGAGAGCAGCGUACUCGGCGUGUGGGCAGCUGAGUUAGGAUUGGCGGAGGAGGACUAUAAAGGAGGAGAGAGACGGCAUGCACCAGGAACAUCUAAGGGGAACAUCUAGCUGAAGGAACACCCGUGCAGCCCCCGAGAGACCCGGCCGGCGGUGUGCCGCUCCCCUGCGGAAGUGGGGAAUGCGGCCAGGGGGACCUGCCCUUCCACGGAGGUGGAAGGGAUAGUAGCCAACCCGGGAAGAACCAGCAGCAAACCCGGGGAGGGCCGAGCAGACAGAAAGAACAGCGCAGGGUUCAGUGUUGCUCCUCCAUGAAGAGGGGGAGCGACACAGCUUUUCCUGCACGCCACCGCACUGGCCCCUGCUCUAUAUUUUAAAGGCAAUAUCUUGGGGUUGGCGCUGUGGCAUAGCGGGUAAAGCCACCUCCUGCAGUGCUGGCAUCCCAUAUGGGUGCGGAUUGGCGCAGUUCUGGCCGUUGCAGCCAACUGAGGAGUGAACCAGUGGAUAGAAGACUUGUCUCUCCUUCUCUGCCUCUCUUUCUCUGUGUAACUCUGACUUUCAAAUAAAUAAAUAUUUUUAAAAAAGCAAUAUCUUUUAUCUAAGUGUCAAUUAUAAUAAUUUAAUUAAGGAUUUAUUCAUUUGAAACUCAGUGAGAGAAAGCGAGAGAGGAAAAUCUUCCAACUUCUCUUCACUCCCAAAUGGCCACAACAGCCGUGGCUGGGCCAAACUGAAGCCAGGAUCCUGGCACUGCAUCCAGGUCUCCCACAUGGGUGGCAGUGGUCCAGGUACUUGGGUCAUCUUUUGCUGCCUUCCCAGGUGUGUUAGCAGGAAGUUGCAUUGGAAGCAGAGCAACCAGAACUCAAAUUGGGAUGCUAGCAUCCCAAACAGCAGUUUAACCUUCUGAGCCACAAUUUGGCCCUUAUAAUACUAUUUUGAAACAUUUUCUGUGACAUGCUUUGUUCUAAUUUUAUUUCCCUAUAUGUUUUCUUUUUAUCUCUUAUUUGAUUAUGGUUAACCUUCUUCAAUAUCACAAUGGAUGUUAGUGUCCAUUCACAUGUACCAAAGUGCAUUAAUGAUGUGCAAUGAUUGGUUGCUUUAAAUGUUUGUGACAGAUAAGUGAAUGUUCAUUUUCUUUCUGCCUAUUUUUUCAAACUGAGAGUCAAAAUGUUGAGAAAUCAAGUUAGUAUGUUUUGACUACCACUUUUAAAAAAGAGAAAAUAGAAUGGGAAAAGAGGGCAUGGAAUGGAAUUGUGUAGAAUAAAGUAAAAAAUACCAGAAUGAUUCUAGUACAGGUUGACACUGAUUGAUGCAACUUUAAUUUCAGCCUUUUCUUUUUAAGAUUCAUUUAUUUAUCUGAAAAGCAGAGUUACAAAGGUGGAGGGAGAGACAGAGAGAGAGAUGUUCCAUCAGCUGGUUCACCACUGAAAUGGCAGCAAUGGCCAAGAGUGAGCCCAGCCAAAUCCAGUAGCCAGGAACUCCAUCCUUGUCUCCUACAUGGGUUACAGAGGUCCAAGUACUUAGGCCAUCAUCCACUGCUUUCCCAGGCACAUUAGUAGGGAGCUGGAUCCAGCAACAGCAGGAUCAUAUGGGGUGCUGGAGUAGCUGAUGGUGUCUUAAUCGACUGUGCCAAAACACAGGCCUGUAAUUUCAGUCUUUUAGGUUUAUAUUUACGUGUUGUUCGAGAUCACACAUAAAAUUUAUGUGUGUCUGAGAAUCACGCUAAAAAUGCUCAAAAUUCUCCAAUAAAAGAAGACAACAUUAGUCAGUUGACUGGAAAGGUGUGGGACGAUAAACUAACUCUUGGGUUAGGGUCCCAGGGGGCAGGACUAUCUGGGGCCACCCAUUUCUCAAGAGGAGAUCACAUGUGUCCUCACUGGGGAAUGUUCUAGUAUUCUGAGUUCAGGGUGGGCAACAGAGCCAGGAAGACUUUUAAUUCUUCAGCAUGAAUUUCUUAAUCUUCCUGUUCGGUCCUAUGUCGUCUUUAUUUGGCAUGAACUGUUGGCAUGAGCUAUGUUCUAUUUCGAUUACCUCCAUCAAAGAAGCUCCAAGAAUUUCCAAGACAACUCAGCAGUUUCUCUCACCUCACCAUUGCCUAACUAAUUUGGGGGUAAUAAAUGGUUACAAAUAAA